GACGAACGCUGGCGGCGUGCUUAACACAUGCAAGUCGAACGGAAAGGCCCUGCUUUUGUGGGGUGCUCGAGUGGCAAACGGGUGAAUAACCCGUGAGUCACCUGCCCUUGACUUUGGGAUAACUUCAGGAAACUGGUGCUAAUACCGGCUAGGAGCUCCUGCUGCAUGGUGGGGGUUGGAAAGUUUCGGCGGUUGGGGAUGGACUCGCGGCUUAUCAGCUUGUUGGUGGGGUAGUGGCUUACCAAGGCAUUGACGGGUAGCCGGCCUGAGAGGUUGACCGGGAACAUGGGGACUGAGAGAGGGAGCAGACGGCUACGGGAGGCAGCAGGGGGGAAUAUUGCACAAUGGUCGGAAGCCUGUGGCAGCAGCGCCGCGUGCGGGAUGACGGCCUACGUGUGGUAAACCGCAUUCGCCUGAGACGAAGCGGGAGUGACGUUAAUGGGUAAAGAAGCACCGGCUAACUACGUG
rnacentral:rRNA from 1 species